CCCUGCCAUUUGUACACACCGCCCGUCGCUACUACCGAUUGAAUGGUUUAGUGAGGCCUCGGGACUGGCGCACAGCGCGCUGGCAACAGCACUCUCGCGCCGGGAACUUGGUCAAACUUGAUCAUUUAGAGGAAGUAAAAGUCGUAACAAGGU
rnacentral:rRNA from 1 species